AUAUUUACCUGGCAGGAGAGAUACCAUGAUCCCUAAGGUGGUUUUCCAAGGGCAAGGCUUAUUCAUUGCACUCUUGAUACAAUGUGGGAAGCUCAGCUGCAUAAUUUGUGGUUUUGGGGACA
ensembl:snRNA U1 U1 spliceosomal RNA